rnacentral:ncRNA from 1 species
AUCUUCAGGGCAGGGUGAGAUUCCCGACCGGCGGUAAAGUCCGCGAGUGCGAGAGCACAUGAUUUGGUGAGAUUCCAAAACCGACAGUAUAGUCUGGAUGGAAGAAGAU